AACGCAUCUUGCGCCCGGUGGUAUUCCGCCGGGCAUGCCUGUCUGAGUGUCAUUACUAUCUCAACCCUAGCGAUGUUGUUAUGACGUUGCUCAGCGGAUUGGAACUUGGACUUGGCAGGGUUCGCCCUGCCGGUCUUAAAUGUAGUAGGCUAGCCGACUAUCAGCGGUUUGACCGGGUGUUGUAGAGUCGCCUCACUCGGGACGCUGAUCGGAUUAGUUAAUUGUAAUUGAAUUACUCGAGCGAUUUAGACCUCAGAUCAGGUAGGAUUACCCGCUGAACUUAU
rnacentral:misc_RNA from 1 species